CAGACAGAACACUGCUAGAAAACCCUCUCAGGAUGACGGUUUCAAGGAGGACAAGGAAGAGAAUGUGGUUGGAGGACCAUAUAAACACUACCGGAGUUAGUCAUCUGACAUUCUAUGCCAGACUUGGUGACAACAGACAAGACCAUGAGGACACGAACCUUCAGCACGUGAAGAAGAGGUAGAGGGAUCAUAUGGCUACAGCCAGGAAGCCAGAGCCUGACAGAGCAAGGCAGGCACAGAGAGCCAGUCUCGGGCUCUCCUGGACACCUUCCUACUAGCACAGGGACCCCUUCACACUGGACCUGUCAAUCACAGUGCUCUCUCUUAGCUCAGAGACACACAAGGUCUGGCUACGUGCAGUGUGGGGUAAGUAGCUCAGGCAUAUAGGAAUAAUAAUAGCCUGGUUACAAGUAAAUGUAAAAACCUAUAUCUGGGCUGGAGAGAUGGCUCUGCAGUUGAGAGCACUGGCUGCUCCUGCAGAACACUUGAGUUUGGUAUCUAGCACCAACAUGGACUGGCUCCCAACUGCCUGCAACCCCAGCCCCAGAACAAAUGCCAUUUUCUGGCCUCCAUAGGGACCUACAUGCACAUGGCAUGUAUACAGCAUACAUGCACACACACACACCCCAAUCCUGAGGUACUGGAGAGAUGACUCAGUGGCUAAGGGUACAUGCUGCUCUUACAGAGCACAUCACACCAGGCAGCUCACAACUGUCUCUAACUCCAGCUCUGGGGGAUGCACCCCUCUAGGAUCCAUAGGUAACUAUACUCAUGUGCACACACAAACACUGAGAAACACACACACACACACACACACACACACACACACACACACACAAUUACAAUAAAAUUAAAUCUUAAAAAAAAAA
ensembl:antisense Tbc1d22bos TBC1 domain family, member 22B, opposite strand